rnacentral:tRNA from 1 species
GUCUGAAUAGCUCUGUGGUAAGAGCAGUCGCCCGUCGAACGAAAGACUCGGCUUUGAUUCCCGAUUCAGCG